rnacentral:rRNA from 1 species
AACGAACGCUGGCGGCAUGCCUAACACAUGCAAGUCGAACGAAGCCUUCGGGCUUAGUGGCGCACGGGUGCGUAACGCGUGGGAAUCUGCCCUUUGGUUCGGAAUAACAGUUGGAAACGACUGCUAAUACCGGAUGAUGACGAAAGUCCAAAGAUUUAUCGCCAGAGGAUGAGCCCGCGUAGGAUUAGCUAGUUGGUGUGGUAAAGGCGCAUCAAGGCGACGAUCCUUAGCUGGUCUGAGAGGAUGAUCAGCCACACUGGGACUGAGACACGGCCCAGACUCCUACGGGAGGCAGCAGUGGGGAAUAUUGGACAAUGGGCGAAAGCCGGAUCAGCAAUGCCGCGUGAGUGAUGAAGGCCCUAGGGUUGUAAAGCUCUUUUACCCGGGAUGAUAAUGACAGUACCGGGAGAAUAAGCCCCGGCUAACUCCGUGCCAGCCGCCGCCGUAA